GGACUGACUCCAGACCUCCCUGGACCUGGCCAUGCUGAGCCAGCCACUUCUAUUACAGAAUGACUACCUGUCGCUCAGGCUUCUGUGACACCAGCAGGUCAGAGGGCUGCUCUUUGGAGGAGAGCAUCACAAAGGAGGAUACUCACAGCUGAGCACUGUCCUCCAGGACCACAGAGGCCAUGAGGUAGUAAGACCUCACACCAAGCUCCCAGAAAAUAUCCAAGACACUAUCCUGGGUCUAGUCCACUACUCCAAUUGUCUCUACCCCAAGCAGAGGUGCUGCCACCACUGUCCUGUUGUGUUGCUGUAGCCUCUUCCUGAUCCACCACUGCCCAGCUGUAGUCUGCCCUCCUCUGAGCAGCGAGCGAUGCCCUGAGCCACAAGGCCCUUUAAUAGAUGCUCCUCAACACUGCUGCCCCAGGAAGCAACAUUUGUGCUAGAAGGGAUCACUCCUGGAGACCUGGCUCCCCUACUCCUCAACUGGCUGUUCCAUUUGUCUUCCUGCUCAACCGGGACAGCACAUGGACACCAAAGCUGCCUGCUUCUCAGGCAUCAGGCAGGGCGCGCCAAUCCAAGUUAGCUCACUCCUGUAGUAGUCUCACUAUCUUUACCUGGCAUGAGAUGAAAAAAAAAAAAAGACUAGCACAGCUGUAAAGGUUAUAGGGUUAAUGUUUUGGGCUACUGGUCAAAAUCAUAAUGCUUUUCUUUAUAAGCUCAUGGAAUUUAGUCAAGACUUUUGAAUAAUGCUGGAGCAAUUUAAAAAUUAAUAUAAGGGGACUGGGGAGAUGGCUCAGUCAAUAAAGAUGCUUGCUGCCAAGUCUAA